ACUCGGCGGAGGAAUCCUCUCUGACUUAGGAAGUCCCCCUUGAGGCACAGCUGGGCUGGGGGGGCCCAUCUCUCUCCAGGACAGAGAUAGAAAUGUCUGCAGAACACCCUGAAGGCCCGUGGAUAAUGGCUUUUGUGAUGCAAAUGAACAUCUUACUCCUCAGGGCUGAACCAGCGUCCAGGGGAGAGUCACACUGGAGCUUGCGAGGGCCCCUGUCCUGUCCUGCUCUCCUGGAAGCAGCGGGUGCUUUGCCCACACCCACGCUGCGCCUUCUCCUCGCCGCCCACCUUUCUCUCAAGGCUUCCUUCUCGAGAACCUGCAACACUGCAGAACUCAGGGGCUGACCAGCCGUUCACCUGGCACUCCGCACAUCUGAAGCUCAUGUAUGUGACAGGAUGUUGUAAGUCUCACUUCCCCCAUGGGAGGGGGGGCUCUGCGGAGGGGA